GAUCCUGGCUCAGGACGAACGCUGGCGGCGUGCCUAAUACAUGCAAGUCGAGCGGACAGAAGGGAGCUUGCUCCCGGAUGUUAGCGGCGGACGGGUGAGUAACACGUGGGUAACCUGCCUGUAAGACUGGGAUAACUCCGGGAAACCGGAGCUAAUACCGGAUAGUUCCUUGAACCGCAUGGUUCAAGGAUGAAAGACGGUUUCGGCUGUCACUUACAGAUGGACCCGCGGCGCAUUAGCUAGUUGGUGAGGUAACGGCUCACCAAGGCGACGAUGCGUAGCCGACCUGAGAGGGUGAUCGGCCACACUGGGACUGAGACACGGCCCAGACUCCUACGGGAGGCAGCAGUAGGGAAUCUUCCGCAAUGGACGAAAGUCUGACGGAGCAACGCCGCGUGAGUGAUGAAGGUUUUCGGAUCGUAAAGCUCUGUUGUUAGGGAAGAACAAGUGCAAGAGUAACUGCUUGCACCUUGACGGUACC
rnacentral:rRNA from 1 species